GGCUGGAUCACCUCCUUUCUAAGGAGUUUUGUUCCGCUCCUGCAAAGGCAGCGGACAAAGCAUCUAGGUCAUUUCCCAACCAAGGAUUUGCUAUUUAGUUUUGAGAGAAGAAGAUCGCUGAUGGCUGACGCAGCAGAUCUUCGGAAAGUUCCGGCUGUAGGCCAUGAGCAAAGCAAGGGCCUAUAGCUCAGGUGGCUAGAGCGCACGCCUGAUAAGCGUGAGGUCGGUAGUUCAAAUCUACCUAGGCCCACCAAGAAACAAAAUACAAAUCUCAAAUCCCAAAUUCCAGAAGAAUGGCUUGGGAUUUGGAAACUUGGAAUUUGGAAUUUGUCUUUUUGGGGGGUAUAGCUCAGCUGGGAGAGCGCCUGGUUUGCAACCAGGUGGUCAGCGGUUCGAAUCCGCUUACCUCCACCAAAUCAGUGAGGAGUUAGAAGUCAGAAGUGAGGAGUAAAAGCAGGUUUCGUCUUUAGAGUUUUUACCCCUCACUCCUUACUUUUCACUACUUACUGUAGUGACUGUUCUUUGACAAUUUCAUAUUUGCAGCUGAGACAAUGAACUCAAGUUUAUGGUCAAGCUACGAAGGGCGAACGGUGGAUGCCUUGGCGCCAGAAGGUGAUGAAAGACGUGGAUAGCUGCGAUAAGCCUCGGGGAGCCGCUAAACAGGCUUAGAUCCGGGGAUUUCUGAAUGGGGAAACCCGUCCGGAGUCAUGUCCGGACAUCUCCCGCUGAAUCCAUAGGCGGGAGAGGCGAACGGAGGGAACUGAAACAUCUCAGUACCUCCAGGAAAAGAAAGCAACCGCGAUUCCCAAAGUAGUGGCGAGCGAAAUGGGAAGAGCCCAAACUCAAGAUAUGCCAAGCCGCAGGCGUUGUAUCUUGGGGGUUGUGGGGCGCUGUUGGAGGGACCUGCGGAUCCCUCGGGAAGUUACCAAUUCAGUUUGUAGCCGAAGGGCCUGGGACGGCCCGCCACAGAAGGUGAAAGUCCUGUAGGUGAAACGAACUGAACUUCCUGGAAAGCGUUCCCGAGUACCACGGGACACGAGAAAUCCUGUGGGAAGCUGGGAGGACCAUCUCCCAAGGCUAAAUACGACCUGGCGACCGAUAGUGAACAAGUACCGUGAGGGAAAGGUGAAAAGUACUCCGGUGAGGAGAGUGAAAUAGUACCUGAAACCGUUUGCCUACAAGCGGUAGGAGCUCCAUAUCCCGCUUCGGCGGGAUGGAGUGACUGCGUGCCUUUUGCAUAAUGAGUCAGCGAGUUAUUCUAUGCAGCUAGGUUAAGCCGAAAGGUGGAGCCGUAGCGAAAGCGAGUCUGAAAUGGGCGAUUGAGUUGCAUGGAAUAGACCCGAAGCCAAGUGAUCUACCCAUGGCCAGGGUGAAAUUUCGGUAACACGAAAUGGAGGCCCGAACCGGUGUUGGUUUGAAAACAGCUCGGAUGAGCUGUGGGUAGGGGUGAAAGGCCAAUCAAACUUGGAAAUAGCUGGUUCUCCCCGAAAUCUAUUUAGGUAGAGCCUUGCAAAUUAAGUAGCGGAGGUAGAGCACUGGAUGGGCUAGGGGCCCUACCAGGUUACCAACCCCAACCAAACUCCGAAUGCCGCUAACUUCUAUUGCAGGAGGCAGACUACGGGCGAUAAGGUCCGUGGUCGAGAGGGAAACAGCCCAGACCACCAGCUAAGGUCCCGAAGAAUGUGCUAAGUGGGAAAGGAUGUGGAGUUGCCCAGACAACCAGGAGGUUGGCUUAGAAGCAGCCAUCCUUUAAAGAAAGCGUAAUAGCUCACUGGUCAAGUGAAUCUGCGCCGAAAAUCCAACGGGGCUCAAGCACAUCACCGAAGCUGUGGCUUUCCGGAGCAAUCCGGGAGGGGUAGGGGAGCAUUCCAUAGUAGGAUGAAGCCAGACCGUAAGGACUGGUCGACGAGAUGGAAGAGAUCAUGCUGACAUUAGUAGCGAUAAUGCCGGUGAAAAACCGGCACGCCGUAAGCCUAAGGGUUCCUGAGUAAAGUUAAUCUUCUCAGGGUGAGUCGAUCCCUAAGCCGAGGCCGAAAGGCGUAGGCGAUGGAAAACAGGUUAAAAUUCCUGUACCACUCCUUUCACGUUUGAGCGAUGGGGGGACGUAGGAGGGUAGGCCAUUCCCGUGUUGGAAUACGGGAUCCAAGCUGGUAGGUGGAUCUGCCAGGAAAAUCCGGCAGGUCAUAACACCGAGAAGUGAUGGGGAUCCGCCGCAAGGCGGAACAAACUGGCUGAGCCCACGCUACCAAGAAAAGCCUCUAGCGAGUGAAAGGGGUGAUCGUACCGCAAACCGACACAGGUAGGCGGGGAGAAUAUCCCAAGGCGCUUGAGUGAUCCCUCGUUAAGGAACUCGGCCAAUUAACUCCGUAACUUCGGGAAAAGGAGUGUCCCGAAUCGUGAAGAGACUUGCUCUCCGAGCGGUUUGGGAUCGCAGUGAAAAGGCUGUAGCGACUGUUUAAUAAAAACACAGGUCUCUGCGAAGUCGUAAGACGAUGUAUAGGGGCUGACGCCUGCCCGGUGCCGGAAGGUUAAGGGGAUUUGUUAGCCGCAAGGCGAAGCAUUGAACUGAAGCCCCGGUAAACGGCGGCCGUAACUAUAACGGUCCUAAGGUAGCGAAAUUCCUUGUCGGGUAAGUUCCGACCUGCACGAAUGGCGUAACGACUUCAGCACUGUCUCAACGAGGGGCUCAGCGAAGUUGUGAGAGCGGUGAAGACGCCGCUUACCCGCAUCAAGACGGAAAGACCCCGUGCACCUUUACUAUAACUUGGCAAUGGAUUUUGGGAUAGUCUGUGUAGGAUAGGUGGGAGGCUGUGAAAUCCCGGCGCCAGUCGGGAUGGAGCCAACCUUGAAAUACCACCCUGGUUAUUCUGAAAUUCUAACUUGGACCCUGAAUCGGGGUUGAGGACAUUGCCUGGCGGGUAGUUUUGACUGGGGCGGUCGCCUCCCAAAAAGUAACGGAGGCGCA
rnacentral:misc_RNA from 1 species